rnacentral:lncRNA from 1 species
GGUGGAGCUAGGGAAAGCCUUCAUGGAAAGGGUUUCAUCUUUCUGAACAUUCACCACACUGGUGGACAAAUCCUUUUUGUGUGAGGAAGAUGUGGCUGUUGGGAGAGUCAAGUAAUUGAAUGACGUGAAUUUCCUGGAGUUUCCAUAAGUUCCUGUAAAUUUAGCCUCCAACUGAAAUAAACCAACUGAAUGUAAGACAUCAGACCCUAAAGAACCAAAGUUGUUAUUUCUGUGGAAGACCAGCCAACCUAUUCUCACAGCUGAAACAAUGGAUCUGGCCUGCAGAGUGUUAAGGCAUUCUCCAAGUUUCAAAACAAGAGUACACCAUUUUGAAGGCCUAUAAAUAGAAAGAAUUUUUCAAAUAUUAAUUCAGUAAUGACCUCUGUCUUUGGAAAAGAUAAUUGCAAUGUGUUACUGCGAACCAAUUUAAACCUGUAUUUCUCAUUGCAUUUAAUAUUUAAUUUUGUUUUUUAUCAUUAUAUAUCAACAGUUCUUUCUGGAGCAAAGCAAUCCUAUUUGACUUUUUUUUUUUUUAACCUUAUAGUGCACACACACAUGUAUGUGUAGGGUUAUUUAAACAAGGAAACAUUUACAUCAAAAUGUGCAAAGAGUUAUCCUGGAAUAGAAAUGCUGAAAAUAUAUUUUCAAGAAGUUUUAAAAUUCUAGGCUGGCCUCAAUGUAUUCAGUAGCAUGCCAGAAACAGAAAAAAAAAUUUAAUCUCUCCAUUUGCUUAUUCCUAUUAACAUAUAUAGAAAAAAAACUUGCUCUAAACCUAAUGCCUAUGCGAUAUGUUUGUUUCCUGAUGCUGAUGAUAAAUCAUAACCGGGCACUUGGUUAUAUUUUUUAAUGUUCUACAUUUCUAGCACUGCUACUGUAUUCACAAUGAGCUUUAUAUCUGACAGUAAUUUUAUUUUCAGGUUCAGUCAUAUGAUGCCUUUCUAUAGGAAUAGGUUCUAUCACAGGAACAAAUUAUUCAAAUCUAGUUUAACGGACUCAGCAAUUCUCCUCAGUUUUAUCUUGGGCAUUUUGUAUUCCUUUGCCUAAACCUAGUGGCUAUGUAACAAUUCAAUUACCAAAGUCCUUCAUCCAGAAAGUGCUGUUGAUUUCCAGUAAUUCUUAUUCUGUUUGAUUUCUUUUUUUUUUCCUCCUAGUUUAACACAUGCCAGUUGGUGUCGACUGAGUUAAAAAUCUUGAAAUAAGCCUGGCACUGUGUCAGUACAUAGGUUAAAAAAUGAAACAAAAAAAUUUAAUAAAAUAUACGCUAGAAAUGGAAAAUAAGAUUAGCAGUGGCAUUUCUUGUCAUAAGGACAUUUUCUGUCUAUGCACACAAAAUAAAACCAGCUCAGUGUAGCUGAAGAAGAGAGGAAAGAGAGAGGUGGUAUAAAUUGAAAGACGAAAAGGCAGAGACUGAGUGUACAGAAGCGCGUUGAGAGCAUGCAGUCAGCUGGCAAGAAAAGGCAACUCGAAGAGCCUCAGAAGGUAAAACCUCAGU